rnacentral:rRNA from 1 species
UAGGGAAUAUUGGGCAAUGGAGGGAACUCUGACCCAGCCAUGCCGCGUGCAGGAUGAAGGCGUUAUGCGUUGUAAACUGCUUUUAUAUAGGAAGAAAUAGUCCUUGCGAGGAAAGUUGACGGUACUAUAUGAAUAAGCACCGGCUAACUCCGUGCCAGCAGCCGCGGUAAUACGGAGGGUGCAAGCGUUGUCCGGAUUUAUUGGGUUUAAAGGGUGCGUAGGCGGUUUAUUAAGUCAGUGGUGAAAGACGGUCGCUCAACGAUUGCAGUGCCAUUGAUACUGGUAGACUUGAGUAUGAUUGAGGUAGCUGGAAUGGAUAGUGUAGCGGUGAAAUGCAUAGAUAUUAUCCAGAACACCAAUUGCGUAGGCAAGUUACUAAGUCAUAACUGACGCUGAGGCACGAAAGUGUGGGUAUCAAACGGGAUUAGAUACCCAGGUAGUCCCUGAGCGGGCUGGCAAGGCGCAU